rnacentral:lncRNA from 1 species
UGCACAACCAGUCCUUUAAUGAAUGCCUUUUGUUACUUCUCAAAGUGAACAUACACAACUUUAUUUUAUAGGGAGUAUUUUUGUUAUCUGCAUAUUCCCUGCCCUCCUCGUAGAUAAUUCCAAUUCCUUUAGAAAGAAACCGUCAUUUUUAUUGAAUGGUUGUUAGAAAGAAACAGUCGUGGAAGGUUCAAGUGCUCGCUGUUAUGGUACAGACCAACAUUAGAAUGCCGGCAGAAGAAAGAGGCUUAGGAAGGGUUGGAUAACCAAAAUAGAAGAGCAUAAAUGUUAAAAAGAUUAUGGUUCUGAAUAUUAGGACUCCUAGUCCAUGUACUUGUAGGACUUAAGAGUUUGAUUUGUAUUGUACUACAUUACCUACUUCCCUUACCCUUUGUAUUCAAUAUAUAUAUAUAUAUGAACAGCUCUGCAGAGAUGCUUUGUGGCCUUGAAAUCACUUCUCUGUUCAUGGUAUCAGACGUCCAGUACAAUCCAACUGUCCUACCACUUUCUUUUACCUCUUUCACGCUACUAUGGCUUCCCAGUCGCUUACUACCCAUUCUUCAGAUGUCUCACUUUCUUUUCCUACAACAACUGUUGCAACUACGCAAUCAAUAUCGGAUAUUUCGUCAUCUGUUACAAUUCCUCCUUUGCCUCUAUUACAACACUCUUUCCCCCUUCACUCUGUUGCUCCUAGUAUUCGACCAGGUUCAUCUAUAGGACAGAUUGGUCUGCCUUCUCUCCCACCUUAUGCUGGAAUAAUAGAACCAACAAUUCCAUCCCCUUUUCAUUCUACCGCGGCAUUGGCUGCACCAAACGUCACUAACUUGGUGACUAUCAAGCUUAAUUCCGUUGAAGAUUAUCUCACUUGGCGUACUCAAUUCACCUCCGUGUUGAUCUCUCAUGAACUCCUUGGCUUUGUAGAUGGCUCUACACCUCAACCAACUCAAUUUUUAUGUGAUGUCUCUGGUAACCAGCAAGUUAACCCACUCUAUCGUUCAUGGGUCAGAAUUGAUCAAAGUGUGCGAUCGUGGCUGUUUGCAACAUUGUCUCACGAGGUCCUUGUUGAUGUUCACUUGUUACCUACAUCACGUGAUAUUUGGAUAUCCUUACAAAGACGUUUUAUGGAUGCUAGUCAAGCUAAAUCAAUAGAACUUAAGCGACAACUUACUACCAUGCGCAAAUCAGAUUCCAUGACUAUUGAUGAGUAUCUCCUAGAAGCCAAGAAAAUAGCAGACUCCCUUGUGGCAAUUAACUCUCCAGUGUCUACUCAAGAUUUUAUUGACCAUGUUCUUCUUGGGUUAGGAAGAGAGUAUGACACACUAGUUGGCAUCAUUACACACUAUCCAGGCCAACUAUCUCUUGAAGAACUUCGUACCAAACUCUUGCUUCAUGAGCAACGGUUGCAACGCCUCAAAGAACUAGACCCUGUUGUCUCCCAUCAAGCCUUUGCUGCCCAGAAUGUAUCUCCUAACUCCUCUUUUGUCUCUGGUAAUCAAUCAAUAUCUCAAGGGGGUCGUGGUAGAGGUCGGUCUUACUCAUCUAAAGGAAGGGGUCGUGGAGGAAGAGGUCGAGGCUCCUUUGGUGGUCGCGGUCAAUCACAACAAGUUUCUUCACCUAAUAAUUUUUCACGCAACGGUUUUCAUGGACAGUCUUCAUCAGGUAUUGGUAGUAAGUCCCAUGUUUCAUAUCAUUCACAAUCUGCUAGUUCAACAUCACCAUCUGCAGGAGUCUUAGGAGCACAUCCUUCUUUUACCAUUUGUCAAAUUUGUGGGUCUCCCGGUCACUCUACAUUACACUGUACCAAUCGAUUUAAUCAUGCUUUUGUUGCUAAUGAUCUUCCUAAGUCUUUUGCUACUAUGUCUGUUGGUGAAAUAAAUGAUGCUACUUGGUACUUUGACUUUGCUGCGUCCGCUCAUAUGACCCCAUCUGAAGGUAAUUUUCUGCAUAAAUCACCUUAUAAUGGCUCUGAUCGUGUGUUUGUCGGAAAUGGCACUUUGCUUAAUAUUAAAAACAUUGGAUAUACUCAGUUACCCUCUACAUCUCGUCCAUUACACUUGUGCUCCAUAUUUCAUGUUCCUCAACUUCGUCAUAAAUUAAUUUCCGUAAAGAAGUUGUGUAAGGAUAACAAUUGUGCUGUCGAUUUUGAUUCUUCUUCUAUUUUUGUUAAGGACAAAGCCUCGGGUCAAACUCUCCUGCAAGCUUCCAGUAAGGGUGAUGUUUAUCCGCUAGCAUCUUCAUCAGUGUCUUCUCAUCCUCAAGCAUGUAUUGCUCUACGUCAGUCUGGAGAUAUUUGGCAUCGUCGUUUCGGUCACAGUGGAGCUUAUACUUUAGAUCGUCUUAGGAAAAACACUUACAUUAAUUUGAUUAAUUCUUAUAAUAAUGAUUGUGUCCCUUGUCGAUUAGGAAAAUCUCAACGUUUACCAUUUAGUUUAGUGGAUCACUGUAGUUCUUUUCCAUUAGAUAUUGUUCACUCAGAUGUUUGGCAAUCGCCAAUUUGAUCAAACUUGGGAUUUAAAUAUUAUGUUAUUUUUAUUGAUGAUUUCUCUCGUUUUACAUGGUUAUACCCUAUGAAGAGUAAAUCAGAAGUUUUUACACAUUUUUGUGCUUUUCAAAAACUAGUAGAAAACGUAUUUAACUCUAAAAUAAAGACUUUUCUUAGGAGGUGGUGUAUUUGAUAACAAAGCUAUGCUCUCACAUUUUUCCAACUCGGGUAUUCUCUUUCGCAAGUCAUGUCCGGACACUCCUCAACAAAAUGGGGUUGCUGAACGGAAGCAUCGACACAUUAUUGAAAUGGUGCGUACCAUUCUUGUAGAGGCUACUUUACCACCUCAAUUCUGGGUUGAUGCUGCUUAUUAUGCUGUUUAUACAAUUAAUAGAUUGCCAACGCCUAAUUUACAAGGACUCCCUCCUUUUGAAAGACUUUUUCAUAGACCUCCAGACUAUAAUUUUCUUAGAGCCUUUGGUUGUGAAUGCUUCCCUAACCUUUAUGCUCGAGUACCUCACAAGCUCACACCCCCGUUCUGUUCACUGUAUCUUUCUUGGUUAUGCAUCUAACUCUUAAGGAUAUCGUUGUCAAGAUCCUAAAUCAGGUCGUGUGUAUGCUAGUCGUCAUGUUGUAUUUCAUGAGUCAGUGUUCCCAUACGCUACCAUGUCUUGUCCUUCACAUGUCUCUUCCUCAUCCCACUCUUCAGAUCCUCUUGUGGUUACAUCACCCUUAUUACCUACACAACUUUCUGUCCCGCAUAACUCUUUUGUGGCUUCCUCUGACCCUCCUUCCUCAAAUUCUCCUUCCUCUUCUCCUUGUUCUACCACAAUCACUCCGACAUCACUUACUGAUCCAUCCAGUGAGUCACACUCUACUGAUCUUUCACCGUCUUUACCUAGCUUGUCUCACACUACUACUUCUUCUGCUUCCACAUCUAUCAUUACAUCUCAUCCAAUGCAAACUCGUUUUAAAUCUGGAAUUUCUAAACCUAAGAAGGUAUUUUCAUUGAGUGCUACUCUUCGUGAUAUUGAGCCCUCUUGUUUCUCUCAGGCUGUGAAAAAUCCUAAGUGGCAACAAGCUAUGGCAGAUGAGUUUAAUGCGCUUUUGGAAAAUAAAACUUGGGUACUUGUUCCUUUUCAACCUCACAUGAACUUGGUCGGUUGUAAGUGGGUUUAUCGUAUUAAAUAUAAUUCAUAUGGGUUUAUUGAGCGGUACAAAGCUCGUCUUGUAGCACAGGGCUUUCAUCAGCAACCUGGUGUUGAUUACCAUGAGACUUUUAGUCCUGUUGUUCGAGCUACUACUUGCUGUUUCUUUUUCUUGGCCUAUUCGCCAAUUAGAUGUUAAAAAUGCCUUUUUACAUGGUGUUCUUACUGAGGAAGUAUUUAUGAAACAACCUCCUGGUUUUAUUCAUCCUGAAUUUCCUCACCAUGUUUGCAAAUUGACCAAAGCCAUUUAUGGUUUAAAACAGGCCCCGCGUGCAUGGUUUCAUCGCUUUAGUACAUUUCUUCUUUCUCAAGGUUUUAUUUGUAGCAAAUCUGAUACCUCUAUGUUUGUUCGCCGUUCAUCAUCAGGUAUUCUUAUCCUACUGCUUUAUGUUGAUGAUAUUAUUCUAACUGGUAGUUGUUCAUGUAUCCUUGAUCAGUUCAUUAGUCUUCUUUCCCUUCAGUUUGCCAUGAAAGACUUAGGCGAUCUUCAUUAUUUUCUUGGUGUACAAGUUGUUCGCUCAUCUGGUGGUCUUCAUUUAUCUCAACAGAAAUAUAUUUCAGACAUGCUCCUUAAGUUUCACAUGCAUACUUGUAAGCCAGUUCUCACACCUCUAGCUUCUCGUACUUCUAUUUCUCUUAUGGAUGGUGAGUUACUUUUAGAUCCUAGUGAAUAUAGGAGCAUGGUGGGUGCUCUUCAAUACUUAACUUUGACUCGUCCUGAUAUUGCCUAUGCUGUGAAUGUUGUUUCUCAGUUUAUGCAUGAAUCGCGUACUACUCAUUUGCAGUGUGUGAAGCGUAUUUUUAGGUACUUACAGGGUACUAUUUUGCAUGGACUGUUUUUGCGUGCUUCUUCAUCCAAUUCAUUGGUGAUUUCUUAUUCGGAUGCUGAUUGGGCUGGAUGCCCCGAUAGCAGGCGUUCUACUACUGGGUUUGUAAUUUUCUUGGGUUCCAAUCUCAUCUCUUGGCGUGCGAAGAAACAACCGACAGUUUCAAGAUCGUCUACAGAGGCAGAGUAUAGAGCUAUUGCAUAUACUGUAGCUGAAACUUCUUGGAUUCGUCAUGUUCUUCGUGAACUUGGCCUUUAUCUUCGUGAACCGAUUCGAGUAUUGUGUGACAAUGUCAGCUCAACAUACAUGUCUCAUAACCCCGUAUUCCAUGAUCGUUCUAAACAUAUUGAUUGUUAAUCCUCUUCCCGUUAUUGUCUUUUGCGUGACAAUUUGUCAGUUAUUUCAAUACGUCCAGAUUGAGGGGGCGGAUUAGGACUCCUAGUCCAUGUACUUGUAGGACUUAAGAGUUUGAUUUGUAUUGUACUACAUUACCUACUUCCCUUACCCUUUGUAUUCAAUAUAUAUAUAUAUGAACAGCUCUGCAGAGAUGCUUUGUGGCCUUGAAAUCACUUCUUUGUACACGGAAUUCCCAGUAGCAUCAUGUCCAAUACUUGUGUGUAAUCUUCAUUUCUUUGUGCUGAAAGACAUAAUAAUCAAUUAAUUAUUAAGUUUUAUAAUCAAC